CCUACGGGAGGCAGCAGUGAGGAAUAUUGGUCAAUGGCCGGAAGGCUGAACCAGCCAAGCCGCGUGAAGGACGAAGGUGCCAAGCAUUGUAAACUUCUUUUGUCAAGGGACAAAAUCAGGCUCGAGAGCCUGACCGAGGGUACUUGAAGAAAAAGCAUCGGCUAACUCCGUGCCAGCAGCCGCGGUAAUACGGAGGAUGCGAGCGUUAUCCGGAUUUAUUGGGUUUAAAGGGUGCGUAGGCGGGCUGUUAAGUCAGCGGUAAAAGCCCGGGGCUCAACCCCGGCGAGCCGUUGAAACUGGGUGGCUUGAGAUGUCGAGAGGUAUGCGGAAUGCGUAGUGUAGCGGUGAAAUGCUUAGAUAUUGCGCAGAACUCCGAUUGCGAAGGCAGCAUACCGGCGGCGAUCUGACGCUGAGGCACGAAAGCGUGGGUAUCGAACAGGAUUAGAUACCCCAGUAGUC
rnacentral:rRNA from 1 species